GAGGAAAGAGGGAGGGGGGAGGAACACAUGCAAGUCGAACGAUGAAGCCCAGCUUGCUGGGUGGAUUAGUGGCGAACGGGUGAGUAACACGUGAGUAACCUGCCCUUAACUCUGGGAUAAGCCUGGGAAACUGGGUCUAAUACCGGAUAGGAGCGUCCACCGCAUGGUGGGUGUUGGAAAGAUUUAUCGGUUUUGGAUGGACUCGCGGCCUAUCAGCUUGUUGGUGAGGUAAUGGCUCACCAAGGCGACGACGGGUAGCCGGCCUGAGAGGGUGACCGGCCACACUGGGACUGAGACACGGCCCAGACUCCUACGGGAGGCAGCAGUGGGGAAUAUUGCACAAUGGGCGCAAGCCUGAUGCAGCGACGCCGCGUGAGGGAUGACGGCCUUCGGGUUGUAAACCUCUUUCAGUAGGGAAGAAGCGAAAGUGACGGUACCUGCAGAAGAAGCACCGGCUAACUACGUG
rnacentral:rRNA from 1 species